AUGGUUUGGCCUUUUGGCCAAGAUCUAGUGUAGUAUUUGUUUCAAUCAUUUUAGUAGCUGAUAUGUUUUUUAUCUGUGAAUUAUGUAUUAAAUUGAUUUUUGUAAGCGGGAGAUGGAAUAGGGGCUCGUUCUGUCCACUCCAAUCAUCAACUUGGUAUUGCAUUUCCAGGAAUGGUGUACCCUCC